GAUGAACGCUGGCGGCGUGCCUAAUACAUGCAAGUCGAGCGAACAGGCGAGGAGCUUGCUCCUCUGACGUUAGCGGCGGACGGGUGAGUGACACGUGGAUAACCUACCUAUAAGACUGGGAUAACUUCGGGAAACCGGAGCUAAUACCGGAUAAUAUAUUGAACCGCAUGGUUCAAUAGUGAAAGACGGUUUUGCUGUCACUUAUAGAUGGAUCCGCGCCGCAUUAGCUAGUUGGUAAGGUAACGGCUUACCAAGGCGACGAUGCGUAGCCGACCUGAGAGGGUGAUCGGCCACACUGGAACUGAGACGCGGUCCAGACACCUACGGGAGGCAGCAGGAGGGAAUCUUCCGCAAUGGGCGAAAGCCUGACGGAGCAACGCCGCGUGAGUGAUGAAGGUCUUCGGAUCGUAAAACUCUGUUAUUAGGGAAGAACAAAUGUGUAAGUAACUAUGCACGUCUUGACGGUACCUAAUCAGAAAGCCACGGCUAACUACGU
rnacentral:rRNA from 1 species